rnacentral:rRNA from 1 species
UAUUGCGCAAUGGGGGAAACCCUGACGCAGCAAUGCCGCGUGAGUGAUGAAGGCUCUAGGGUCGUAAAGCUCUGUCGUGGGGGAAGAUAAUGACGGUACCCGUAGAAGAAGCCCCGGCUAACUUCGUUCCAGCAGCCGCGGUAAUACGAAGGGGGCUAGCGUUGCUCGGAAUCACUGGGCGUAAAGCGCACGUAGGCGGCUUGUUAAGUCGGGGGUGAAAUCCUGGAGCUCAACUCCAGAACUGCCCUUGAUACUGACGAGCUCGAGUCCGGGAGAGGUGAGUGGAACUGCGAGUGUAGAGGUGAAAUUCGUAGAUAUUCGCAAGAACACCAGUGGCGAAGGCGGCUCACUGGCCCGGUACUGACGCUGAGGUGCGAAAGCGUGGGGAGCAAACA